GCGGGCAGCAAAUCGCCGCGAUUUUGUGGGGACUUGGAAUCACCACAAUUUUAAUGACGACGGCGAACAUAGUUUUACCGAUUUUCGGCGUUUACGGUUUGCUGCCCGUGGCAGCGACGUUUUCCGUUCCGGGCGUUUUGAUUUACGCUUACGCGAUUUCAAAUUUCAAGCUCUUUUCGUUUCAAACCGCGCUCGAUCAAUUCCGUCUUUUUCCGAUUAUUUACAAAAUCGCUUUGACGAUUGCCGUUGUUGCGGUCGUCAGUUUCACGGCUUUUCAAAUUCCGAUCGUUUACUGGGCUUUUCAGGA
rnacentral:misc_RNA from 1 species